rfam:Cavia porcellus supercont2_28 genomic scaffold, whole genome shotgun sequence.
GGCGAUUUAGCUUAGCGGCAUAAGCGCCUGCCUUGUAAGCAGGCAGUCAUGAGAUCAAUCCCUG